AUUGAACGCUGGCGGCAUGCCUUACACAUGCAAGUCGAACGGCAGCACGGACUUCGGUCUGGUGGCGAGUGGCGAACGGGUGAGUAAUGCAUCGGAACGUACCUUUCAGUGGGGGAUAACGUAGCGAAAGUUACGCUAAUACCGCAUAUUCUGUGAGCAGGAAAGCAGGGGAUCGAAAGACCUUGCGCUGAUUGAGCGGCCGAUAUCAGAUUAGCUAGUUGGUGGGGUAAAGGCCUACCAAGGCGACGAUCUGUAGCGGGUCUGAGAGGAUGAUCCGCCACACUGGAACUGAGACACGGUCCAGACUCCUACGGGAGGCAGCAGUGGGGAAUUUUGGACAAUGGGGGCAACCCUGAUCCAGCCAUGCCGCGUGAGUGAAGAAGGCCUUCGGGUUGUAAAGCUCUUUCGGCCGGGAAGAAAUCGCAUAGGCUAAUACCCUGUGUGGAUGACGGUACCGGAAUAAGAAGCACCGGCUAACUACGUG
rnacentral:rRNA from 1 species